CUCGCUGGGACCGUCACCGGUGCAAAGACUGCAGUUCACCGGCGGGUAGCCUGAUCUGUGUAACCCGCUGGAUCUGCAGUGACUGGCUUCCACUACCUGCGGAGGCAUGAGAAUCGGAGGUUACCAGCAGCUACUAAGGAUCCUCUGUGACCCUAUCUCCCGCUCUAUGCUCCUCCUCUACCUGACACUCAUGUGCUCCAAGAGCCGGGAGGGCACCGGCCACCUGUACCGCCCCCUGCUGAUGACAGUAUUUUGGGUGUGGGUGGGUUACUAUGGUGCGAGUGCCGGGCAGGAGGCACAGGACACAUGCCCACUGUCAGCGCUCGUCAUAUGCUCCAGAGUCCUGGCCCUAGCUAUAGGCAACUACCUAGGACAUGGGGAAAUCCUAGGGCCUGCAGAGCAGCAUGGCAUACUACUGUCAGUGUCAGCACAGCUGUGAAAGUGAAACUACAGAGGAGUCCGCUCAGGGGGCGUGGCUACACGGGUCACUGCUGCCUUCCUGCAAUGUGUGAAACUGAGGGGAGGAAUGGCUCUGAGCUGCAAUACUGGACAUUGUGAUAUGCUGCCAUGUAAUUGUCAUGUGUUAAGCAGCUGCCCGGGAUCUGCCACCACGAGGAGCCUGACUGCCAGCGAGGAGAGAUGGGCCGGCCUGACCAUUACAUCGCGGAGAGUACCAUAUGUGGAGGGUGCUGCUGCUGCCUUCUCAUGUCCUCCCGAGGUGUGCUCGCACACCUGCUGCACUGCUUAAAGAGAGAGCCUGGAUCACAGUGUGAGGUGAGUGGGGACCCAGGGAGGGAAACCACUGGGACAGGGUCGCACACUGCGGCCGCCAUCUUUCUGCACCUCUGCCUUAGUCACUCUAUACCUGUCACCCACUAUCUCCCUGUCAGCCCUGUCUCAGUCAAAGUAUAGAUAGCGUGGCGAGCCACCGUGCCCGCAGCAUGGCGAGCCCGCAAGGGGCUCAUUUGCG